GGAUGAGAAGCUUCGACUAAGGUUCGAUUCGAGCGCAGCGAGAAAGCGUUGCCGCAGGCAACGACCCGAAGGGCGAAGCGCGCAGCGCUGAGUAAUCCUUCCCCCACCACCA
rnacentral:sRNA from 1 species